UUUGUCCCCCCUUAUGCAUUUUUACACUUUUAUAUGUGUAGCUUUUAAUUUUUUUAAGACGUUCAUUCUUUUUUUCUAAGUCUUCAUGUGUGCAGAAUUACUUCUGCGGUGAGCCGGAGUGUGACGUCUUCUCACGGGCUACUGUCAUCAAUCAAGGUGGUCAUCGGUCGAUAUCAAGCUUGACGAGUACUUCCUGAAGGCUGAUUUCUGCUCCCGCCGCGUCGCUGACCGAGGCCCCAUCUACGUGGGAAGCUGCUAUUUUUUUGAUAGAUUGCUAGUGAGAUGCUUGGAUAGGAGAAAAGAAAUCGGAAGAGCAUGAGAGAUAGAUGUUGAGAACCUAAAUAAUGCACACACAUUUACAUAUUUCAUGUGAUGUCAUGCUUGGAGCUUUUAUCUGUAACUCUACAAUAUCAGAAAGCAUGUCUAAAGCUCAAGUUUGUAUUUGUCCAUGGUCAAGAUAAGGGGCACAUAGAGCUUGGUUUCUUAAGCUUCUUUAUAUU